AAUGAACGCUGGCGGCGUGCCUAACACAUGCAAGUUGAGCGGUAAGGCCCCUUCGGGGGUACACGAGCAGCGAACGGGUGAGUAUCGCGUGGGUAAUCUACCUAGAGGUGGGGGAUAGCCUCGGGAAACCGAGGGGUAAUACCGCAUGAGUCCUCGAUGACAUAAGUCGACGAGGGGAAAGCGGGGCUCCUUCGGGACCUGUCGCCUCUGGAUGAGCCCGCGUCCGAUUAGCUAGUUGGUGAGGUAAUGGCUCACCAAGGCAACGAUCGGUAGCCGGCCUGAGAGGGUGAACGGCCACAUUGGGACUGAGACACGGCCCAGACUCCUACGGGAGGCAGCAGUGGGGAAUUUUGGGCAAUGGGGGAAACCCUGACCCAGCGACGCCGCGUGGAGGAUGACGGCCUUCGGGUUGUAAACUCCUGUCAGGUGGGAAGAAAAGCCAGUCGGAUAAUACCCGGCAGGAAUUGACGGUACCACCAAAGGAAGCCCCGGCUAACUCCGUG
rnacentral:rRNA from 1 species